GACGAACGCUGGCGGCGUGCUUAACACAUGCAAGUCGAACGGAAAGGCCCUGCCUUUGUGGGGUGCUCGAGUGGCGAACGGGUGAGUAACACGUGAGUAACCUGCCCUUGACUUUGGGAUAACUUCAGGAAACUGGGGCUAAUACCGGAUAGGAGCUCCUGCUGCAUGGUGGGGGUUGGAAAGUUUCGGCGGUUGGGGAUGGACUCGCGGCUUAUCAGCUUGUUGGUGGGGUAGUGGCUUACCAAGGCUUUGACGGGUAGCCGGCCUGAGAGGGUGACCGGCCACAUUGGGACUGAGAUACGGCCCAGACUCCUACGGGAGGCAGCAGUGGGGAAUAUUGCACAAUGGGCGGAAGCCUGAUGCAGCAACGCCGCGUGCGGGACGACGGCCUUCGGGUUGUAAACCGCUUUCGCCUGUGACGAAGCGUGAGUGACGGUAAUGGGUAAAGAAGCACCGGCUAACUACGUG
rnacentral:rRNA from 1 species